GUCUUUUGCCAUGUUCAUAGAGCUGCCUUACAGAAUCUCUGCCGCUGUGUGACAGCCCCUGCUGCUGCCGUCUGCAGCCGGAGACAUCCUUUAGGAGGAAGUGGGAGUUUCUCUUAUGCAGGAGUGGCAGCACUGUGCUCUUAAAAUUGCUUGCCGUCUGGUGGCGAUAAAAGCACUGAGCUCUGUGGCUGAGUUCAAAGCUUUGCAUCAGUGGUUGGAGACAGCAGAAGGCAGGCUGCAGCCUGCAGCCACAGGGAGUCGUGCCCUGGAGAUGGGGACAGAGCUCAUACCUCAUCAUCGUGGCCAGUGGGCAGUCAGCAGCUCAGCCUGGCCGCAUGGUCUCCAAAGCUGCGAAGGCAAACCGCAGCAAGCAGCUGGGCAAGCAGAAAAUACAACACAGCAAGGCUUCUUUUGACCUCCUUCUCACUUGCAUGCAAAGCUGCCUUUACCAGAAAAGUCCCUGGGACAGCGCUUCUUUGGCAGUAUUCUCUGAAUUCCUUGACAUACAACUGAAGUGCUGAGAAUACUACAAUAGUCAUUCAUCACAGUACAAAAGGAGCCAAGUCCAAGUCGUUACAGAAUGUAUCCAGCAGCUGCACUGGUACUGUUUUCACAGGUACAACAAAAAUAUUUCUCGCUGAAAGACAGCAGCAUAGACUGACUAACAUCAGGUGUGCAAAAUAAAAAAUAAUUAAAAAAAAUAAUAAAAAAGAGUAUAACU
rnacentral:lncRNA from 7 species